UACAGAGGUCCCAAGCGUUGUUCGGAUUCACUGGGCGUAAAGGGUGCGCAGGCGGCCGGGUGUGUCAGAUGUGAAAUCCCGAGGCUUAACCUCGGAACUGCGUCUGAAACUACUCGGCUAGAGUACUGGAGAGGGUAACGGAAUUCACGGUGUAGCAGUGAAAUGCGUAGAUAUCGUGAGGAACACCAGAGGCGAAGGCGGUUACCUGGACAGUUACUGACGCUCAGGCACGAAAGCAUGGGGAGCAAAAGGG
rnacentral:rRNA from 1 species